rnacentral:snRNA from 1 species
AGUUGCACAGUGAACACAUAGCGAACUAUUCUUUCGCCUUUUACUAAAGAAUACCGUGUGCUCGAUGCAAUUCAAUGCAGCAGCAUACGCCUCUUUUUGGAGGGCUAAUUUCCUUGUGGAAU